rnacentral:misc_RNA from 1 species
UUAACAUCAAUGCGCCAAUUUUGUAAAAUUUUUUCAUAAAUUUCCAAUUCUAAAACUCAGAUUACUUUGGAGUUUAGAUUACCUCCCUUGGCUUAAAGAUCACGUAGGAAUAUAUGUGCCGGGGUUUGCUGUGUUCAUUUAUCAGUUGAUACAGACGACGUUUUUGAUAAUGGCCUGUGACAGGAUAGAACGCUGCGGAUUGGAUAUCGUCAUCGCAUGCAUUCGAUUGCAAAGAAACAUGGUAUUGUCUCCAAUUAGCGGAGAACUUGAUUAUCUCAAAAAAUAUUUGGAAAAACUAGCUCCAAAAUUCACUUUGGCUGGCUGCAUACUCGUCAACAGACAAACUUUAGCGUCACUUAUUCCAUUAAUAGCUUCAUAUCUUAUAGUCAUAAUACAACAGCAAUAAGUGGUGAACGGAUCAAGAAAAAAUAAACGUGUUUUGAAAAUAUAUGCAAUCGGAUAUGGGAUAAUAUAAAUAUCCAAAUAUCGGAAUAAAUGUAAAUAAUCAGCUUUCCACUCAUUACCAAAGUUUGAACUUAUUUUUGCACUGUUGCCGUGAAGAAACAUUUCAGAUUUCAAAAAAUCAACAAUUGUGAAUUACAACAAAUUUGACACUUUUAGGACUAUCAUUGAGGUAAAGUCACUAAUGCGCAUGGCCACUGUCCACUAUGUAAUGUUUCUGGAUUUCCAUAAAUGAUACGA